rnacentral:rRNA from 1 species
GAUGAACGCUGGCGGCGUGCCUAAUACAUGCAAGUCGAGCGAACGGACGAGAAGCUUGCUUCUCUGAUGUUAGCGGCGGACGGGUGAGUAACACGUGGAUAACCUACCUAUAAGACUGGGAUAACUUCGGGAAACCGGAGCUAAUACCGGAUAAUAUUUUGAACCGCAUGGUUCAAAAGUGAAAGACGGUCUUGCUGUCACUUAUAGAUGGAUCCGCGCUGCAUUAGCUAGUUGGUACGGUAACGGCCUACCAAGGCAACGAUGCAUAGCCGACCUGAGAGGGUGAUCGGCCGCCCGAGAACGGAGACACGGUCCAGACUCCUACGGGAGGCCGCAGUAGGCAAUCUUCCGCAAUGGGCGAAAACCUGACGGAGCAACGCCGCGUGAGUGAUGAAGGUCUUCGGAUCGUAAAACUCUGUUAUUAGGGAAGAACAUAUGUGUAAGUAACUGUGCACAUCUUGACGGUACCUAAUCAGAAAGCCACGGCUAACUACGUG